rnacentral:rRNA from 1 species
GAUGAACGCUGGCGGCGUGCCUAAUACAUGCAAGUCGAGCGAACGGACGAGAAGCUUGCUUUUCUGAUGUUAGCGGCGGACGGGUGAGUAACACGUGUAUAACCUACCUAUAAGACUGGGAUAACUUCGGGAAACCGGAGCUAAUACCGUAUAAUAUUUUGAACCGCAUGGUUCAAAAGUGAAAGACGGUCUUGCUGUCACUUAUAGAUGGAUCCGCGCUGCAUUAGCUAGUUGGUAAGGUAACGGCUUACCAAGGCAACGAUGCAUAGCCGAACUGAGAGGGUGAUCGGCAACACUGGAACUGAGACACGGUCCAGACUCCUAAGGGAGGCAGCAGUAGGGAAUCUUCCGCAAUGGGCGAAAGCCUGACGGAGCAACGCCGCGUGAGUGAUGAAGGUCUUCGGAUCGUAAAACUCUGUUAUUAGGGAAGAACAUAUGUGUAAGUAACUGUGCACAUCUUGACGGUACCUAAUCAGAAAGCCACGGCUAACUACGUG